GAGGGGAAGGUCAAACCAGCAAGAACUGCUAACUCUUGUCCCUGAGAAUAAAACCUCAGUCCCCUU
rnacentral:tRNA from 1 species